AUGUCAUGAUGAGGGCACUUUCUAAGCAAAUUGUAAAACCUUUCCCAUGCAUCAUGAAACAUUUCCCCAUCCCCUUGAGAAAAUUCACGAAUGUAAGUUCUCAUGAC